rnacentral:rRNA from 1 species
GAUGAACGCUAGCUACAGGCUUAACACAUGCAAGUCGAGGGAACGGCGCACGGGUGAGUAACACGUAUCCAACCUGCCCUUUACUCGGGGAUAGCCUUACGAAAGAGAGAUUAAUACCCGAUGUAAAGGAUGGGGAUGCGUUCCAUUAGUUUGUUGGUGAGGUACCGGCUCCCAAAGCCUUCGAUGGAUCGGGGUUCGGGGAGGCAUGUCCCCCAAAUUGGAACUGAGACACUGACCAAACUCCUACGCGAGGGAGAAGUGCUGAAUAUGUGUCAAUGGGCUUUUACCUUAACCAGCCAAGUAACGUGAGGGAUGAAGGCUUAUUGGUCGUAAACUUCUUUUAUAUAACAAUAUGUAUUAUAUGAAUAAGGAUCGGCUAACUCCGUGCCAGCCGCCGCGGUAAUAC